rnacentral:lncRNA from 1 species
AGGUUCAUAUUUUUAUUCUACUGGAUUGUCAAUAUAUAUUGUUAGGUGUCACUGAUGGAUUAUGAGACUCAUCGAGCAUCAUCUUGAUGAUCGAUGGCCCUCAAAGGGUUGAAUUAAAAAUAUUCUAAUCCAUCGAAAAGAGUUUUGAUGAUAUUAUAAUAGAGAUCACAAUAUAUCUCACUACCAGAUAGAAUGAAACCUAUGAGGUCACACAUUAAGAGAUUUAAUCUCGAAUUUAUCAAUUGGGCUUAUAAAGUUUCAAAUGGGUUAAGGUUUAUUUGAAACUCUAUUAGAUUUAUGAGAAUCAUGCUAGCACAUGGUUAAACCUAAUUCUUCUCGAGAUUUUGAUUUGAUCAAGUCCAUAGCCUUGAACCUAACCUAAAUUUAUUUGGAUUUAAUUGAGCUCUUAAUUAUAAGUCCAAAAAAAUUUAAUUAAGUUAAUUAGUUGGCAAAAUUAUCUUAAUAUUAUCUCUUCCAUAUCUCCUAAUUAUCUUUAAAUAUGUAUGUGGAAUAAAUAAAAAAAUAGGUGGCAUAAUUUUUUUUUUUGAAAAUUAUUGAGCAUCAUAUCCUAGAGGGGCCCACCCCCUCUUAUAUGUCAUGGCGUGACGGAGAGAGAGUGGAGUCCAUGCCCCAUCUCUUAUGACUGGAGAUCCCUUUGUGGGGUGCCAAGAGUUGGCAUCCCAACCACUUGACAUGUAUUCUAUGGAUGGCUAUUAUAUAUACUUAAAAGGGCUGAUUAAUUACCUUUUAUAUCUGAUUUUAUUUGGCAUAAAUCAUAUUUAAAAGGUAGAGAAUUCUUAUGAGAUAUAUUAUAUUUAAAAGGUAGAGAAUUCUUAUGAGAUAAGGAUCUACUUUUUUAAUAUGACAGGGUUCCUAAUAUGUGUCAGGACUUAUGUCUAUUUAAAGGGAGGUCUCUAGGAUUUCUUAUUAUGGAUUUUUCAUCAAGAAAAUCUUCUCUCUCUCCAUCUCCACACCUCCUCUCUCUCAUAUUCUUCCUUUUCACGCCCAAAGGUUGAGUGUUCUCUCUUCCACACACCUAGAAAAAGUUUUAGUGACUUAGAGAUCAAGGAUCGAGGAGAACAAGAAAAAGGCUACAGGUCAAGGAGUUAAUCUGUCAGUUAAGAUCAAAAGAGUUGAUUAGAGUCCUCAAGGCCAAGGUUUUUCUUGAGAAGAAGAAUCUUCUUCGAGAAAAAAAGUUCGAGAUUGAUCUCGAUGGAUAUCUAUAGAGGUCAGACAUGUGUGCGGCUCCAUCUUCUACGAAUCCGAGAUCAUCUGAAGUGGAGAAACCCGCGCAACGGUAAUGAGAUAUGAUCUCAUAUUUUUUUUAAAUUUUAGAUUAAUUAUAUGUGCUUUCUUUUGGGCUUGGGUAGGUUUAGAUCUGGUAUCUUGCAUGUGGAGUUAAAGGGUUUAACCUAUUUUAUUUUUUGUUGCAUAUUUUCAAAAUUUUAAAAUCUACACAUACUGCCUAUCCUAUUUUCUAUCAGUGGUAUUAAAGUCAAUUUUUUUGAAAAACACUUAUGAUCUAGUUUUUAUGUUAGUUCUAAAUAUUUUAAUGAUUUAAAAUUAAUUUUAUGCUGAUAUAAGGUUAUCCUGGUAUAGGGAUUACCCCCUAUACUGCAAAGAUUGUCCUAGCACGAGAUUGAUUGUCUUUGAAAAUUAUUUUCAAAAUAAUUAAAUCAAAUCUUUUAG